CAGUCGCCGCGGGAAUACGAAGGGGGCUAGCGUUGUUCGGAAUUACUGGGCGUAAAGCGCACGUAGGCGGAUAUUUAAGUCAGGGGUGAAAUCCCAGAGCUCAACUCUGGAACUGCCUUUGAUACUGAAGAUCUUGAGUUCGGGAGAGGUGAGUGGAACUGCGAGUGUAGAGGUGAAAUUCGUAGAUAUUCGCAAGAACACCAGUGGCGAAGGCGGCUCACUGGCCCGAUACUGACGCUGAGGCACGAAAGCGUGGGGAGCAGACAGGAUUAGAUACCCCGGUAGUCCCUGUCUCUUAUAC
rnacentral:rRNA from 1 species